rnacentral:lncRNA from 1 species
GUAAUGUAAUUUGAAAUUCAAAAUUUUUUUUUCAGAGAAACAAGACCUUCUACAUGCUCAAUUAUGAUGGAUAUGCCUUUACAACAAUAUAUACAGCCAUCAAAUAUUCAUGUUUGAAUUUCAACCUGAUUUACUUCAAAAAAUAUACUCCUCAGUUGGGUGUGUAGAAUUUGGGAACAUAAACACCUCUUUACUGGAAACCAGGUGAGUUUUCCUUGGAUUGGUAGAAUUUCAGGUGGGGGUGGGUAGGGUUUAAGGUCACUAAAGGGACCCAGGAGUUUGGGGAACAAAACACGUUGGCGUUUUGGACUAUACUCACUGUAUUGUCCUUUGCAGAACCCCACAGGCAACCUGGGCUCCAGCUCCCUUCUGUGCUUGGGCCUCCAAGAGGAGCUCCAUGGCCUUGAUGUCUACUGUGAGCAGCUGAUUCUGAUGGGGGCGGUUCUCUCCUCUGGCUUACUGCUGAGCAGAAUAAAAUCUCACUUCUUUUUCCCAACAAAUGAAACAAGCACAGAGAACCCAUAGGUCCGCUUAACGGGUGAAACCACUAAUACCUACGGAGAAAUAUGGGGCAGAAAUAAAAAGGAAAAAUAGUGAAACAAGCUAAUAUAUCUCCCAUA